rnacentral:lncRNA from 1 species
CCAUCAGAUCUAGGCAUUGGAUGAAGGGGAGAAGGGAGGAGACAUUGGGAAGGAAGAUUUGAUGUAAGAAAGAAGAUGUUCUUCAUAUCUCACGCAUGCCUCCUCUCCUCCUUUUAUUUUUGUCACUCCAACCAGAUCUCUCAUGCUCCAAAACCUUCUUAAUGCCUUAAUAGAUCAAAUCCCAUUUGAUCUUGGACAUCCAAAACAAAAACAAUAGAUGAGAUGCAUUG